GGUUCUAUAGUGAAGUGGUUAUCACAUCUGCUUUAAACACAGAAGGUCCUGGGUUCAAGUCCCAGUGGAACUA